CUACAGAGCUCACAGUUCAUCACUGUCCUUUCCCUGGUGGGGUGAAGACCAGAAGAGGGUGAUGUCCUUCCUGUCUCAGAAAGUGCUGGGUGGAGAGGUUUGAUCCAGAGUGCACUGAGUUCUUCAUGGAGGGGACACCUCCAAAUCUCCCAGGUAUUUUGGUUGGUGGAGAAGUCCAGGACCAGAACCACUACAAGAUGAUUUGCCAGAAGUACAGGAACAUCUACAGGUUUGCAACUCUCUACAACACGACCAACAGGAUCCCUGUGUUCUCAGCCUACACCUUCUCUGGUGAUACAAGUCAAAAAAAAAAAAAAAAAAAAAGUUCAAAAGACCAAAAUGGAUGAUUGAACCUCAGUUUUGAAUGAAUCAAGUUUACACCUUCACUGGUCCUGGGGGCCCCAGACCAAAAAAUAAAUCCUGGAUGAUAGAGCCCCAGGUAGGACUAAUGUUUGUCAUAUAACAUAACAUGUGUAUUUGUUUACUGGUAUAUAUCACAGACAGUUAUGUUACCUAGUCAGUCCUGGAUGAUAGAGCCCCAGGUAGGACUAAUCUCUAUUCAUUCAACAUGUGUAUUUGUUUACAGCUAUAGACAUACAGUAUCUUUGAGACACCUUUAUUACAAGCCUUUGGUUCAUCCACACUUUCAGCUUAUGUCUGGAUUGUUAAAUUGUGACUUUUUUAAAUUAGUUAUUGUAUGAGCUUGUUAAUGAGUUGUAAUGUCUAAACUAGUUAGAGUUGUAAUGUCUAAACUAGUUAAAGAGUUGUAAUGUCUAAACUAGUUAAAGAGUUGUAAUGUCUAAACUAGUUAAAGAGUUGUAAUGUCUAAACUAGUUAAAGAGUUGUAAUGUCUAAACUAGUUAAAGAGUUGUAAUGUCUAAACUAGUUAAAGAGUUGUAAUGUCUAAACUAGUUAAAGAGUUGUAAUGUCUAAACUAGUUAAAGAGUUGUAAUGUCUAAACUAGUUAAAGAGUUGUAAUGUCUAAACUAGUUAAAGAGUUGUAAUGUCUAAACUAGUUAAAGAGUUGUAAUGUCUAAACUAGUUAAAGAGUUGUAAUGUCUAAACUAGUUAAAGAGUUGUAAUGUCUAAACUAGUUAAAGAGUUGUAAUGUCUAAACUAGUUAAAGAGUUGUAAUGUCUAAACUAGUUAAAGAGUUGUAAUGUCUGAACUAGUUAAAGAGUUGUAAUGUCUAAACUAGUUAAAGAGUUGUAAUGUCUAAACUAGUUAAAGAGUUGUAAUGUCUGAACUAGUUAAAGAGUUGUAAUGUCUAAACUAGUUAAAGAGUUGUAAUGUCUAAACUAGUUAAAGAGUUGUAAUGUCUGACUGAUGUUUCUGCAGCUCGAAGAUGAA